CACGUAGGGGGCAAGCGUUGUCCGGAUUUAUUGGGCGUAAAGAGCUCGUAGGCGGUUCGGUAAGUCGGGUGUGAAACCUCCAGGCUCAACCUGGAGACGCCACCCGAUACUGCUGUGACUAGAGUCCGGUAGGGGGGCGUGGAAUUCCUGGUGUAGCGGUGAAAUGCGCAGAUAUCAGGAGGAACACCAGCGGCGAAGGCGGCGCUCUGGGCCGGAACUGACGCUGAGGAGCGAAAGCGUGGGGAGCAAACAGG
rnacentral:rRNA from 1 species